rnacentral:rRNA from 1 species
GACGAACGUUGGCGGCGUGCUUAAUACAUGCAAGUCAACUGAAGCAGUGGUAGCAAUAUCGCUGUGGAGGUGGCGCACGGGUGAGUAACACGUAGGUAAUCUGCCUUCAGGUCUGGCAUAACUCCGGGAAACCGGGGCUAAUAGCAGAUGAUGCAGCGGCUCGACAUCGAGACAGUUGUUAAAGCUAUGGCGCCUGAAGAUGAGCCUGCGUCUGAUUAGCUAGUUGGCGGGGUAACGGCCCACCAAGGCAACGAUCAGUAGCUGGUCUGAGAGGAUGAUCAGCAACAUUGGAACUGAGACAGGGUCCAGACUCCUACGGGGGGCAGCAGUAAGGAAUAUUGCUCAAUGGGAGAAAUCAUGAAGCAGCACCGCAGCGUGAGGGACGACGGGCUUUUGCUUGUAAACCUCUGUGGUGAGAGAAAAAACUCCCAAUCUUUGGGACAUGAUGGUAUCUCAAAAGUAAGCCCCGGCUAACUACGUG